AAUAAUGUGCUUUUACAGAUCUGUGAAAUGAGCUCAGUCGCUCUUGCGGUGACGGUUUACAGAAAACGUAAAACAUCUGACUUGCGCAAGGUUUAAUCUGUAAUGCAUUGAUACUCACCUAUGUCGACUGAAACGAAACAAAAUAUCUAUGUUGUAUUAAUUGUACCUUUGCUUUUACAAAUGAUUCAUCCACACUGAAUUAUGGAAGACCAAACAACUCCUGUUCGUGAACAGCACAUGUUCAACAUUGUCAAUCUUCAGCGACAAUGUUGGAAAGACAUAAGGAGUGUCCAACAAUGACAAGCUCACUGUCAGACAAUGCAGGUGUACCCACUCCUGAGGGGCUGAUCUCCAUUUACUGCCGGGGGAUGCCAUCCUCUGCCUCAGCUCAACUUCUACCUGGCCCUCUCUGUCUUUAAGAUGGCAGGGAUCGCUCAGGACAUCUAUGUCCGCCACCUCCUGGGCAAUGCCAGUGCUCCCAAUGCUGCCCAGUUUGGCCAGAGUGUGGAGCCGUUGGCCCAGGUUGGGAUGCAGAUUGCAGAAAGGAGGUGGUGGCCCACUGGAAAGCAGAGUGUGGCCUGGCCAUAGACUAGACUCUCCUGCUGACCCUGCAUUCUGCUCACACCCUGGAUACGCUGGGCAGCAGGACCGCCGGGAAACAGCUAACACACACCUAAUUAGCAGAACAAACCGUGUAAUUGUCUCCCAAAUUGUCUCCCAAACUGUUACGUGACAGUACUACAUAUACUGGUAUAUAUAUACUGGUGCCCUGUGUAUAUAGACAAGACUCAUUAUGUAUUAUUAUUUUUAUUAUUACAUUUUGUACUUUUCUAUUAUUUCUCUAUUUUCUUUCUCUCUGUAUU